UUGCCGGUGGCCCCGCUGGCGGGGCAGUGGCCCGGGAAACCACGGCCAACAGCCGCCGAAGGGUGGAAGAAGCUUCCAUCGAGUCCUUCCCGGCCAG
rnacentral:tRNA from 1 species